rnacentral:rRNA from 1 species
UACGGAGGGUGCAAGCGUUGCUCGGAAUUAUUGGGCGUAAAGCGCGUGUAGGCGGCUUUAUAAGUCUGGUGUGAAAUCCCGGGGCUUAACCCCGGAACGGCACUGGAUACUGUAAAGCUAGAGGGCGAGAGAGGAUGGUGGAAUUCCUGGUGUAGGGGUGAAAUCCGUAGAUAUCAGGAGGAACAUCAGUGGCGAAGGCGGCCAUCUGGCUCGCACCUGACGCUGAGACGCGAAAGCGUGGGUAGCAAACAGG